rnacentral:rRNA from 1 species
UACGUAGGGUGCGAGCGUUAAUCGGAAUUACUGGGCGUAAAGCGUGCGCAGGCGGUUUCACAAGCUCGAUGUGAAAGCCCCGGGCUUAACCUGGGAAUGGCAUUGAGGACUGUGGAGCUCGAGUGCGGCAGAGGGAGGUGGAAUUCCACGUGUAGCAGUGAAAUGCGUAGAGAUGUGGAGGAACACCGAUGGCGAAGGCAGCCUCCUGGGCCGACACAUGACGCUCAUGCACGAAAGCGUGGGGAGCAAACAGGA